AUUGAACGCUGGCGGCAGGCCUAACACAUGCAAGUCGAGCGGAUGAAGGGAGCUUGCUCCUGGAUUCAGCGGCGGACGGGUGAGUAAUGCCUAGGAAUCUGCCUGGUAGUGGGGGAUAACGUCCGGAAACGGGCGCUAAUACCGCAUACGUCCUGAGGGAGAAAGUGGGGGAUCUUCGGACCUCACGCUAUCAGAUGAGCCUAGGUCGGAUUAGCUAGUUGGUGGGGUAAAGGCCUACCAAGGCGACGAUCCGUAACUGGUCUGAGAGGAUGAUCAGUCACACUGGAACUGAGACACGGUCCAGACUCCUACGGGAGGCAGCAGUGGGAAAUAUUGGACAAUGGGCGAAAGCCUGAUCCAGCCAUGCCGCGUGUGUGAAGAAGGUCUUCGGGUUGUAAAGCACUUUAAGUUGGGAGGAAGGGCAGUAAGUUAAUACCUUGCUGUUUUGACGUUACCAACAGAAUAAGCACCGGCUAGCUUCGUG
rnacentral:rRNA from 1 species